AAGCUCGUAGUUGAAUUUCGGGGUUAGUAGGUUGGUCAUGCCUCCGGUAUGUACUGGUCUCACUGAUUCCUCCUUCCUGAUGAACCGUAAUGCCAUUAAUUUGGUGUUGCGGGGAAUUUGGACUGUUACUUUGAAAAAAUUAGAGUGUUUAAAGCAAGCUAACGCUUGAAUACAUUAGCAUGGAAUAAUGAAAUAGGACGUUCGAUCCUAUUUUGUUGGUUUCUAGGAUUGACGUAAUGAUUAAUAGAGAUAGUUGGG
rnacentral:rRNA from 1 species